rnacentral:lncRNA from 1 species
CCAGGGACGGGGGAGCCUGGUGGGCUGCCAUCUAUGGGGUCGCACAGAAUGGGACACGACUGAAACGACUUAGCAGCAGCAGCAGCUGCAGCAGAGCACUGUAGAGCAUUGGAAAUAUGGAAGAUAAAUUUAUGGAAAUCUAGAAUCAUGGUUUUUUAGAAUCAUGGAAUGCAGGAAUGGUGAAAUGUUAGAAUAUUAAAUUAAGGAAACACUGAGUGAUAAGAUCUUAGAAUCACAGAACAUUGACAUCAUGAAAUGGUGAAAUUAGAAAGCCAUAGACUUUAACAGUCAUUGCAGUUUAUAAUUACAGACUUAUUGGAUUAUAGACUCUUAGAAUCACAGAGAAUUAGACUCAGAAUGUCUGUUUUGUUAGAGAAGUAUAGGAUCUGUGAAUUACAGAAUUUUGGAAUUACAGGCUUUUAGACAUAGCCUUGAUGAAUUUUAGAGGCAAAAAGGGAUUUAGAGGUCAUUUAGCCCUCCUCAUGGCCCUGCCCAAAUCUUCACCUAAGUCUACAACACAUGCACACACACUCCUGUACUUCUCUCUAGACAACGCAGUCUAAUUUUUUUGUUCCUUGUGUCUCACUGAGCUGCCGACCCCCUUUCCUUCCUCUCCUCUCUGCUUUGUCUCUCAUCAUUACAAAUUCCUUUUACCCUCUGUUUUUUUCCAGGACAGUUUGCUUUGGUCUCUGCAAAUCAUCCAGUGUCUUAACCCAUCAUGCCGGUACCUUGCUGUUUCAAUGAUUAACGUAUUGCUGAAAUGAAGCUUUGGCCCCUUUGGGGUGGGGAGCAAGAGGGAGGAGCAGACUUGUGUGUCUGUAUUUCUGUGGCCUCUGUCCCAGAAACAGCAGCGGACAGGUCCAGAUUUGAACCUCGGCUGCCCAUUCCUUCUGACGUGAGAGCUACAGCCGAGGCUGAGACUGGGAGUGUGGCCUAUCUAGGGCCAGCCUGGAAGCUCCUCCUCGUGGCCAGUCUCUGGAGGUGUGCGUGCUAGGUAUGCCGAGCCUGGGAGUGGGCUGCAAACCCUUUCUUCCCCUGAGGUAGCAGAGAGUCUGGAUGGUGGAGGAGAGCCCAGAGGGCCGGCUCUAUGUUUGGUGAGUAAACAUCCGAGUCGAGUUUCUGGCCUGUCACUCCGCAGCCUUUCAGCGAGUGAGAGGCCAGGUGGGCCGGAGGGAGUUCCCACUGGGGGCGCAUGAAGAGGCCAGGUCUGCAGGGCUGGAGC